CAGGGGAAACGCGCGGAGCCCUCUGCACCCCCCACGCCCAGGGGCCGCGGUGUGGCCGUUUUCCGGAGCGGGGCCAGCGGGGAGCCUGCCCCGGCCCCGGCGCACGCCGCUGCCACCCCGGAGCCGCUCUAGGUUCUCUCCUUUGUGGGGGACACACCCCAAUGUGGUAAAUGACUGCUGAAAUAAUAGGUGAAAAUACAAGCAGGAAUGAGGAACAUGCAACUAUACACAUGAAACAGAAAACCAUCCUCUUUGAAUAGGUCUGUGGCUCAGCAAUCAUGCCUCUGAAUGGCUUCCCACGUGAAGUGUUUGAAGAAGCGGUGGACGUGUCACUGAUCUGAGGUCCAUUGCCUGGUCUUCUUUAAGGACAAGAUAGAGGGAGAAGGGAAGGUGGUACUGAUAUGUGAAUCUGAACCAAAUGCUGUCAUGUCAUAACAAUUAUACAGCUUGGGGGAGGAAAGGGGGCAACAAUGGGUGAAGUGCAGUCGCAAGGGGGAAGCUUCUGUACUGAAGAGCAAGGGUGGGGGGAGGGGGAAGAGUCAGAUCUUACUACACCUGAUUUUAGCCAUUUAAUAUCUGAUAUAUUCUUCUGCAAUUACUAAUAUACAUUUCAUAACUGAGUGGCCCUCCCUUCUCUGAUCUAUAGUUCUUCCUACUUGUGCUCACAGCAGCCUUAGCUUAAUGAGGAGGUAUGGGUAUGAAGAAGAAACAUUGAAGUAGUGUUUGGUAGCCCCAGGCUACAUCACAUUUCACUUUUCUUUUGCACAGAUCAGUAAAUAAAGUACAACGCUUAGGACUGAAACAGUAGGCUGAAAAUUGAAGCCUCCUAAAUUGCAAACAAAUUGUACAUGUAUGCUUUGUAUAUUUCACAGUAUUCAACAUAUGGCUCUGAAAAACUUCACCACUACUUCUUUAAGCCAACAUUCUUUUUUCACAGGUCAGUCACUUGGAGUCAAAUUUCUAUCUUUGGUAUUACUCCCUUGCCUGCUUAUCAACCUAAGGGCUGAUUAUAGGGAGUCCAACCUAAUUGAAAAGACGGGGGAGAUUUUAGAAUUCUGAAGGAAUCCAGUGGCAAAUACUUAACAGUUCACUCAAGUGCAUUAUCACAAUUACACCCCCUCCCUUUCUAAAACUAUGAUAGCACAGGAAUAUGUGCUGUUUAAUAAGACCUUCUCCUAUUUCAGAGUGCCAUUAAUUGCCUGGUUCAGGCUCCUAGGUCUAGCCUGUGUGCUGUCCAUCAUAAAUCAUUGCAAUGCCCUUUAGUUUACACUGUACCCUUGAUAGUAACUUCUGAAGGAAGCCAACACCUUCUCUAUCAGCUAAAGAUACACACAGGGACUGUUUUUUGCUACCACUGAAGUCAAUGCAAGUUUUGCCACUGUUUGGCAGGAUCAGCUCAUAGUGCCCUCUGCCAGCUGGUCCCAUGAGUGGCAAUGGCAGUACCCUCUACAGGUUCUUCUCUAGAUACUAGAAGGUACAUGUGCACUCCAGUCUGGGGAGAAGGGUUGUUCUUAAUGCUAGUUACUUCUUACAGUCAUUCUGCAAGUCCUCAGGUUUUCAGAUAACAUGUCAAAUUCAGAAAACCCCAUUUAGGUGUUUUCUUUGAGUGAAGGCUUGGCCUAUUAUUUAGUGGUUAUCUAUUUGUGGUUGACAUCUUAGAUGCCUCACACAAGACAGCAAGAGAAAAAGCAGAAAAAAAUCACAAUAAAUAUGACACAAACCAUCAGCCACAGAAGCAAUAUAUAAACAGUAGCUCUUGUGUCACUGCAAGCUCCGACUUGUCUGCUCUGAAAGUGUAGACCUGUAUACAAGAUGACAAAAAGUAAGGGUACAAAGGAUGGUCUGGUGGGAAGGGCACUGAUUUGGAUCUGAAAACCUGGGUUCAAGGCCUUGCUCAACAGCCCAAAGUAACACAGGAAGGCAAGUCACCUAAUCUACACUGCACCUUCAUUCCCAAUGUGUAAACUGGGACUAGAUUUCCUUAUCACACAGGCUAAAAAUCCAUUGAUGAUUGUGACGUGCUCAGACACUACAGUGGGGAGAACUGCUUUAAAAAGUAUCCAGCAUGAAAGUCUGGUGCCUGGCUAGUCAUCUGAUUGCAGCACCUUGCUCAUCUCUGAAGAAAGCAGUCAGAGGUAGCAGAAGUGUGGCAACACUGCUGCCCACAGCCAGUCGGGGAAGCAAGACAGAGACUUCAUUUUGCCCUUCAAUUUGGGCCUGGAGUGUGGAUGUGACAGAGAACCUAUGGCUUAAAGUUUCCUAUUCCUCCACCAUGGGAUCUUGAUUCAGUCAUACCCAUGUCAAGGAAGAAGGCCACAAAGAGCCAAGGGGGGAGGAAGCCCGCCCCCUCCCCCCAGUUUAAAUAUACAUCUUUGUUUGCAUUCCCAGGGUCUGAAGAGUCUUAAAGUGCAUUCAGUAAGCACCACUCAACUGAACUUCUUCGUAGACUCAUUUUCCUCCAUCACAGACCCUCUCCCCAAAACAUGAAGAGUUUGUAUCCCAAAUGCGGAAUCAAGCAGACUACUGACUUCAUCACAACCCUCCCACCCUGGGGACUAGUUAGCAUCCUUGCUGGCAGUCUCAGCAGAUGCCAAGGACUGAGACCGAAUGCACCUAGAAGUGAGUCCUCUAUAUCAGAGUUGAAGAACAUUGGCUAGGAAGAGAAAGGAAUCUGGUACUUCUGCUUUCCAUGUUAUUUCUGUUCUGUGGAUGAGAGGGGACUCGCACCCCUAGGCUGUCAAUACACCACUACCCAUAUUUAGAUUGUAAGCUCUUUGGGGCUUUCUUUGUUUAUACACUGCCUUGCACAGUGGGGUACUGGUUCAUGCCUGCAGCUCCUACAUGCUACUGCAAUACAAAUAUUUUAAAAAUUCUUAAAAUGUUCAUAUAGAUUCAACAUGCUGAACCAGUAUAUUGCUGUCAUUGUGUUAUUUGCC